rnacentral:lncRNA from 1 species
CUAAAGCAGCUUUAAUACCAUACAAAGUCAAACAAAUACCAAAAAUCCUUUUCUAAAACUGCAUUAACAUUACAGUACCAUCAUUUACAACUCUGAAGAAAUUUCAUUUUAAAAACUAUGAAUAAAUUAUGGAAUAUAUAUCAGUACUAAUGACAUACUAUAAAAUUCAUAAUUAUUGAAAUAUAAAGUUUUAAUUGACUAUACUUGCACAAUUUAGGUAAAUAUAUUUUAAUUUUUCUACUGUUAUAUACUAUUUACAGCCUUAUUUACAAACAUUCAACUAUUGUACAGCUUUUCAAGAAAAGAUUCUAAAACUAAAGCCCGGUAUAUAUCUGCUAUUUUCACAAACCAAAGCCACCACAACUCCCAGUGUACAAGAACUCUAACAAAAGAAGGAGAUUGUUUUAAAGGUUAUUCUUUUCUUAAAAUGAGCAAAAAUAUUAUGAAGUUAUAAAAAAGUAUAUAGAUCAAAAAUCAAGUUAUGAAAAAACUCAGAGGAAAAGCUUUAUAGAAAUUAUUUUAAUAAUAUCUGAUCUCUA